rnacentral:rRNA from 1 species
CGGCAUGCCUUACACAUGCAAAGUCGAACGGCAGCACGGGAGCAAAUCCUGGUGGCGAGUGGCGAACGGGUGAGUAAUAUAUCGGAACGUGCCCAGUCGUGGGGGAUAACGUAGCGAAAGCUACGCUAAUACCGCAUACGAUCUAUGGAUGAAAGCGGGGGAUCGCAAGACCUCGCGCGAUUGGAGCGGCCGAUAUCAGAUUAGGUAGUUGGUGAGGUAAAGGCUCACCAAGCCGACGAUCUGUAGCUGGUCUGAGAGGACGACCAGCCACACUGGGACUGAGACACGGCCCCAGACUCCUACGGGAGGCAGCAGUGGGGAAUUUUGGACAAUGGGCGCAAGCCUGAUCCAGCAAUGCCGCGUGCAGGAUGAAGGCCUUCGGGUUGUAAACUGCUUUUGUACGGAACGAAACGGUGAGCUCUAAUACAGUUUGCUAAUGACGGUACCGUAAGAAUAAGCACCGGCUAACUACGUG